AGCAUAUCAAUAAGCGGAGGAAAAGAAACUAACAAGGAUUCCCCUAGUAACUGCGAGUGAAGAGGGAAAAGCUCAAAUUUAAAAUCUGGUACCCUUAGGGUGCUCGAGUUGUAAUUUGGAGAGGCGUUUUCGGUGCUGGACUGUGUAAAAGUUUCUUGGAAUAGAACAUCAUAGAGGGUGAGAAUCCCGUCUUUGACACAGACUACCAGUGCUAUGUGAUACGCUUUCAAAGAGUCGCGUUGUUUGGGAAUGCAGCGCUAAAUGGGUGGUAAAUUCCAUCUAAAGCUAAAUAUUGGCGAGAGACCGAUAGCGAACAAGUACCGUGAGGGAAAGAUGAAAAGCACUUUGGAAAGAGAGUUAAACAGUACGUGAAAUUGUUGAAAGGGAAACGCUUGAAGUCAGUCGCAUUGCUUUGGAUUCAGCCUUGCUCUUUUGCUUGGUGUAUUUCCUUUGUAAUGGGUCAGCAUCAAUUUUGUUCAGUGGAAAAAGGAUGGGGGAAGGUGGCACCUCCGGGUGUGUUAUAGCCCCUGUUUGUAUACAUUGAAUGGGAUUGAGGUCUGCAGCACGCCUUUAUGGUCGGGGUUCGCCCACGCAAGUGCUUAGGAUGCUGGCAUAAUGGCUUUAAGCGACCCGUCUUGAAACACGGACCAAGGAGUCUAACAUACCUGCGAGUGUUUGGGUGUUAAAACUCAUGCGCGUAGUGAAAGCAAAAGUUAAGAUCCCUGUCGUGGGGAGCAUUGACGCCCGGUCUUGCGCUUUGGCUAAAGAUCUGAGGUAGAGCAUGUAUGUUGGGACCCGAAAGAUGGUGAACUAUGCCUGAAUAGGGUGAAGCCAGAGGAAACUCUGGUGGAGGCUCGUAGCGAUUCUGACGUGCAAAUCGAUCGUCAAAUUUGGGUAUAGGGGCGAAAGACUAAUCGAACCAUCUAGUAGCUGGUUCCUGC
rnacentral:rRNA from 1 species